GUCAUUUUGCAAACAUUCAUUUCUGUCUGUUAAAUAUAAAAAUAUUUAAACAUCGUUCUCUACCAGCUUAUACUUUUAGAGGACAACGGUUAUUUUAUAUGGUAUUAGAGUAAAAAGUCUUGAGUUUGAACCACACUAGGCUCCUAGCAUUAUUAAUUCCUUCUAUUUAAUUCAAAGUUUUAGCUUUUAGAGUAUAACGAUUAUUUCACAUGAUAUCAAAACAGGAGGUUCCAAGUUCGAGUCACGCUAGGCUUCUAGCAUUAUCAACUUUCUCCCAUUAAUUUAAGUCCGUAUCAUUGGUUAUAAAAAUAGCAUUAUCAACUUUCUCCCAUUAAUUUAAUUCCGUAUCAUUGGUUAUAAAAAAAAAAUCGAAACCAGAUGUGAGGAGGAUUAUUAAAUAUAAAAAUAUUUAAACAUUUUACAGAGUUCGGAUACACAAGUAGACUUGGCAAACGGCUGGUUGGGUAACCCGCGGGCGAGUCAUUGUACCCGCGGGUUACUUGGGUAUGGAUAAAAUUUAUCCGCAAAUUUUUGGAUAGCCAACAUCAUUACCCAUGCCCGCCCGCGGGUGGGCGGGUGGGUAUGCGGGUUUCCUGCAAUUUUUUUUUUCUUUUUUUCUCUUAUAUUUUCUAAAUGCAAAAUACAUAUAGAUUACUUUUAAAAAUAUAACAUAACUCAUUAUUUAAAAUAUAAUAACAUAUAAUAAAAAUAUUUAAAGUUUUAGAGCUUAAAAAUUUCGUAAUAUAAAAGACGUGAUAAGAAAUUAGAGUUAUAAUUUUUAGAAUGGGUAAAUAAAAAUAUAUAUUUUUUAAUUAAGAAAAUAUAUUUUGUAAUUAAAAAAUAUAUAUACAGGUACCCGUGGGUACCCGCGGGUUACCCAAAAUGCCCACAGUUUAAUGGGUACCCACCCGUUUUACCCGUAAUUUUUUAGGUUGGAAAAGCCGGUACCCAUACCCUCAAAUUUGCGGGUAACCCGCAGGCACCCGUGG
rnacentral:lncRNA from 1 species